rnacentral:rRNA from 1 species
UACGUAGGGGGCUAGCGUUGUCCGGAUUUAUUGGGCGUAAAGAGCUCGUAGGCGGCUUGUCACGUCGGGUGUGAAAGCUCGGGGCUUAACCCCGGGUCUGCAUUCGAUACGGGCUGGCUGGAGUGUGGUAGGGGAGAUCGGAAUUCCUGGUGUAGCGGUGAAAUGCGCAGAUAUCAGGAGGAACACCGGUGGCGAAGGCGGAUCUCUGGGCCAUUACUGACGCUGAGGAGCGAAAGCGUGGGGAGCGAACAGG